rnacentral:rRNA from 1 species
GAUGAACGCUGGCGGCGUGYUUAACACAUGCAAGUCGAACGGGGAACAAUUUAAAGAAGCUUCGGCAGAUUUAGCUUGUUCCUAGUGGCGGACGGGUGAGUAAYGCGUGGGUAACCUSCCUCACACUGGGGGAUAACAGUCAGAAAUGACUGCUAAUWCCGCAUAAGCGCACAGAGCCGCAUGGUUCAGUGUGAAAAACUCCGGUGGUGUGAGAUGGACCCGCGUUGGAUUAGCCAKUUGGCAGGGUAACGGCCUACCAAAGCGACGAUCCAUAGCCGGCCUGAGAGGGUGGACGGCCACAUUGGGACUGAGACACGGCCCAGACUCCUACGGGAGGCAGCAGUGGGGAAUAUUGCACAAUGGGGGGAACCSUGAKGCAGCGACGCCGSGUGAAGGAAGAAGUAUCUCGGUAKGUAAACUUCUAUCAGCAGGGAAGA